rnacentral:lncRNA from 1 species
AGGGGAUUUAGAGGUUUAAAGUGCCUUUAGGUAUGUUUAUCUUAAUCGGUAUUUUAUGGACUACUUAUUCAUUAUUUUUGAUGAACAUGGUAACCUAUUUAGUGGGACAAAUGCAUCUUUCCUCCUCGCAAUCUGCAAAUAUUGUGACAAACUUUUUGGGCACUCUCAAUAUCCUUGCCCUCCUUGGUGGAUUUUUUGCAAGUAUUCUUUGCUGCUCAAGAAGGAGAAGGCAAUCAUUGUGCAGCCUGAUCGUGUGACGAUUGCAAAUGGUCCUACACCUGAUCGUGUGACGAUUGCAAAUGGUCCUACAUUUGGGUGUAUUCUGAUGAAGGAUUUCCUGAAAGCACUUGCUAAGAGGCUUAAGUGCAACACUACUGCCUAUGAAAACUACCACGGGAUUUAUGUUCCUGAAGGACAUCCCCUCAAAU